rnacentral:rRNA from 1 species
AAGACGGCUUCGGCUGUCACUUUAGGAUGGACCCGCGGCGUAUUAGCUUGUUGGUAAGGUAACGGCCUACCAAGGCGAUGAUACGUAGCCGACCUGAGAGGGUAAUCGGCCACAUUGGGACUGAGACACGGCCCAAACUCCUACGGGAGGCAGCAGUAGGGAAUCUUCCACAAUGGACGAAAGUCUGAUGGAGCAACGCCGCGUGAGUGAUGAAGGGUUUCGGCUCGUAAAACUCUGUUGUUGGAGAAGAACAGGUGUCAGAGUAACUGUUGACAUCUUGACGGUAUCCAACCAGGAAGCCACGGCUAACUACGUG